rfam:Brassica napus, WGS project CCCW01000000 data, contig: 11544
GGAAUAUAAGAAUCCGUCUCUUAAUUUUUAAUUUAAAAAGUUAAGAGCCGGUUCUUAAAUACGAGUUUUAAGAGCCGGUUCUUAACUUUUUUAGUUAAAAGUUAAGAGACGGGUUCUUAUAUUCC